GAUACCAGUGGACAAAGGUCUGAGCCCACGCGUGCUUGCAUGCUGGUGGGUGAAAGAACUUGGGACACGCCCCAACAUGAGCAUAAAAGUGAAGUGAUAACUUCACGAUAUGCGAAUGGUGGGAGAAUUGUGAGAGUGCGAAGCACGGAACAAUUCGUAAGGU
rnacentral:sRNA from 1 species